UACGGAGGGUGCGAGCGUUGUCCGGAAUCAUUGGGCGUAAAGGGCGCGUAGGUGGCCCGGUCAGUUUGUGGUGAAAGCGCGGGGCUCAACUCCGCGUCGGCCAUCAAUACUGCUGGGCUGGAGCACUGUAGAGGCAGGCGGAAUUCCGGGUGUAGCGGUGGAAUGCGUAGAGAUCCGGAAGAACACCGGUGGCGAAGGCGGCCUGCUGGGCAGUAGCUGACACUGAGGCGCGACAGCGUGGGGAGCGAACAGG
rnacentral:rRNA from 1 species